AGAAUUUGAUCUUGGUUCAGGAUGAACGCUAGCGGCAGGCCUAACACAUGCAAGUCGCGGGGCAGCACGGGUAGCAAUACCUGGUGGCGACCGGCGCACGGGUGCGUAACGCGUAUGCAACCUGCCCCCAUCAGGGGAAUAGCCCGCCGAAAGGCGGAUUAAUGCCCCAUAGGCCCAGGGCGCCGCAUGGCGCUAUGGGUAAAGCUCCGGCGGAUGGGGAUGGGCAUGCGUGCCAUUAGCUAGUUGGGGCGGUAACGGCGCACCAAGGCGACGAUGGCUAGGGGGUCUGAGAGGAUGGUCCCCCACACUGGUACUGAGACACGGACCAGACUCCUACGGGAGGCAGCAGUGAGGAAUAUUGGUCAAUGGGCGGAAGCCUGAACCAGCCAUGCCGCGUGCAGGAUGAAGGUCUUAUGGAUUGUAAACUUCUUUUGCAAGGGAAUAAAGUGGGGACGUGUCCUCCUUUGCAUGUACCUUGCGAAUAAGGAUCGGCUAACUCCGUGCCAGCCGCCGC
rnacentral:rRNA from 1 species